rnacentral:lncRNA from 1 species
CUAACAUGUUUUGCAAUCCACGCAGUAGAGCCUGGGCAGAGACUCGUGCACCUUUGCACUCUGAUAAGGAGAAUAUUAUUGGUCUACUAGUGGCCUAGCCAGAUAAGAGGUUUGGGGCGGGCAGUCUGCGGUUUUUUUUCCUCAAGCUCUCAUUAUUCUGCACCAGUAUCUCCAGAUGCUGUUCGUGGGGAACUAAGCUGCUUUCUAUCUAAAACUGCAAAGAGUGAUGGAGAGUUUAAGCAAAGACCUUGCCUAUUCGGACUCAUCCCAGCCACCCUCUGCAAACAGGGAGGAGUAUGCCGUGCCAGAUGUCAGCAUCACCCGUCGCUUGAGAGACCGGGAAAUGCUCCGGAAAAGAAGAGCUGAAGCCCACGAGAAAGACUCAGUUCAGUGGGUUCUGAGGCCUUGUAGGUGAAGAAGACCUGCUGAAACCAGCAGAAGCAGAAAUACCAGAAGCUUUGAAUAUUCCUCUGGAAAAUGAAUACCGGGAUGAUGAGUCCAGCACAGAUAUUCUAUUUUAAUUUGCUGUUGGUUUUUUUUUUU